UCGAACUGUAGGGGAAGAUGGAGCACGAAGUUCACGUAAUUCAAGAACUAAAUGGUUAAUUUUUUUUUGUUAAUAAUUAGAUAUCUUAUUAAAGGUUGUUUUGGUACGACUGGUUUCAUUAGGAUUUAUUUUUAAAUCAAAGUCAAAAGAUUGUGUGAAAAAAAUGCAUAUAAUACUGUUACUAAAGUUAACAACUAAAGAUAGACAUAACUACUAAGUAAUGACAUGUUUGAAUUGUAGAGAAAGUGUUGUUAGUACCCCUUGGCAACAAUGGAUAUUUUCAAUAAAUUUUUGUUUGAACAGCCAUCUUUGCUCUAGCCGCGAACAUCGCAAGGCAACACCGCGAACCGCUUAUGCUUCCGGAUCGAUUUAAUAGCCGUAUUUAACGGGACUCGGCAAUGAUUUUAAGUUUUUUUACUAACAGAAAUGCCCGUUUUGUUGAAGGCAUUAUGCUAUUCAUUGGAAAAUAGAUUUGAUAUGAUUUUUUAACUUUAUUUUCGUAAUAUCAAGAUUAUAUCCCAAUUUAUACAACAAAAAAAAUAUUUACCUCUGGAUGUUUACUUAUUAUUGAUCAAAUAUUUUUUUUGGCUUUUUUGGAAUAAUAAUUCUACAUACAGUGUGUCCCACUUAAGGGUUAGGCACCCCUCUAAAAUUUUUGUUUCUUGACCAAUUUUCAAAAACUUUCUUUUGUUGGAUAGAUGGUCAAAAAUGGCACUUAUAAGCCAAGUUCGACAUUUAGAGGAAGGUCAUGGCCUACUGUAUUCAAGUUUGAAGUGCGAAAAAUCGAGAAGUAGUAUUAGCGAUAUUUAUUUUUGAAAAAUGGUACUGGAUUAUUGUUCAGAACCACUUAAAACAUAAGUAUACCAAAUUUGGUUAUGAUAGUAUACAGGGUAUUGAAAUAAAUUGGAGUCAAAUUUUUAAAAGGCGCAAUAACAUUCUUAAUCAAAUACGAAUAUUUUUUAAAAUUUUUGGCUAAUAGGCAUGCGUCUUGAGAACACAAAGGUUGGAAAUAUCCUUCAAUAAACAACAAUCGAUCAUAUUAUCAUACUAUUUUAGGCUCAAUUUGUUUGUUUUUUAUGAGUUUGUUUGUUAAAUUCCAAAGACCCCCAGGAACAAUGCAGGCAGACCGCAACAAGCACGAAACCCAGUGACAGAGGAGCAAAUUUUGAAUGCCAUCGACGACGAUCCUGGCCUAAGCACCCGACAAAUAGCUCGGAAUUUGGAUGUUUCUCAUGCAACUGUCUGGCGGGUUUUGCACGAAAAUAGCUUGUAUCCAUACCAUAUUCAAAGAGUUCAAGCUUCGCUACCUCAAGAUUUCCCAAGGCGCUUACAUUUUGCAAGACGAAGCUCAUUUUUCGCGGGAAGGGGUGGUGAAUUUUCACAAUGUGCAUGUUUGGGCAGCAGAGAAUUCGCACGAAAUUAGGCAAUCUCACCACUAGGAGCACUUUAGCCUUAAUGUAUGGGCAGGUUUAGUGGGAGAUAAGUUAAUUGGUCAUUUCUUUUUUUCCUAGAAUUUUAGUUGGCGACACUUAUUUAGACUUUCUACAGCACCAUUUAAAUGGUUUACCAGACAAUGUACCUUUAAAUGUGCGAGCGAACAUGUGGUUUAUGCAUGACGGUGCCCCCCCUCAUUUCCGUAUAACAGUGCGUGACUAUUUGAACUUUGUGUUUCCUGAGAGAUGGAUUGGUAGAGCAGGCCCAAUACCAUGGCCUCCACGCUCCCCGGACUGCAAUCCUCUGGAUUUUUCUUUUCUGGGGAUAUGUAAAAAGCCUCGUCUAUAAUCCUCGUCAAGUGCCUUCGCUCGAGGUCCUAAGGCAAAGAAUUAUUGAUGCCUUUGAAACAAUAAGAAAUACUCCCGGAAUUUUAGAGCGAGUAAGACAAUCUAUGAGAAGACGAAUGGAGGCUUGUAUUGCAGCGAAGGGUGCGCAUUUCGAGCACUUUUUAUUUAAAAAAAUAUUUCUUUCUCAGAAGUUUAUUGUUUAUUUAAAAAAUAAUUAAUUAUUAUGUUAAUAAAUGUUAAAUAAUUUUUUAA